GACGAACGCUGGCGGCGUGCCUAAUACAUGCAAGUCGAGCGGACUUGACGGAGCUUGCUCCUGGUAGUCAGCGGCGGACGGGUGAGUAACACGUGGGCAACCUGCCUGUAAGACUGGGAUAACUUCGGGAAACCGGAGCUAAUACCGGAUACGUUCUUUUCUCGCAUGAGAGAAGAUGGAAAGACGGUUUCGGCUGCCACUUACAGAUGGGCCCGCGGCGCAUUAGCUAGUUGGUGGGGUAAUGGCCCACCAAGGCGACGAUGCGUAGCCGACCUGGGAGGGUGGUCGGCCACACUGGGACUGAGACACGGCCCAGACUCCUACGGGAGGCAGCAGUAGGGAAUCUUCCGCAAUGGACGAAAGUCUGACGGAGCAACGCCGCGUGAGUGAAGAAGGUUUUCGGAUCGUAAAACUCUGUUGUCAGGGAAGAACAAGUGCCAUAGUAACUGAUGGUACCUUGACGGUACCUGACCAGAAAGCCACGGCUAACUACGUGCCAGCCGCCGCGGUAAGAC
rnacentral:rRNA from 1 species